rnacentral:rRNA from 1 species
UGGGGAAUAUUGCACAAUGGGGGAAACCCUGAUGCAGCGACGCCGCGUGAACGAAGAAGGUAUUCGUAUCGUAAAGUUCUGUCCUAUGGGAAGAUAAUGACAGUACCAUAGAAGAAAGCUCCGGCUAAAUACGUGCCAGCAGCCGCGGUAAUACGUAUGGAGCGAGCGUUGUCCGGAAUUAUUGGGCGUAAAGGGUACGCAGGCGGUUUAAUAAGUCGAAUGUUAAAGAUCGGGGCUCAACCCCGCAAAGCAUUGGAAACUGAUAAACUUGAGUAGUGGAGAGGAAAGUGGAAAUCCUAGUGUAGGAGUGAAAUACGUAGAUAUUAGGAGGAAUACCAGUAGCGAAGGCGACUUUCUGGACACAAACUGACGCUGAGGUACGAAAGCGUGGGGAGCAAACAGG